rnacentral:tRNA from 1 species
GCACUAGUAGCUCAGCGUAAGAGCGCCGGUCUUGUAAGCCGGAUGCCGGAGGCUAGAGUCCCCCCUACUGCUC